rnacentral:rRNA from 1 species
AACGAACGCUGGCGGCAUGCCUAACACAUGCAAGUCGAACGAACUCUUCGGAGUUAGUGGCGCACGGGUGCGUAACGCGUGGGAACCUGCCCUUAGGUUCGGAAUAACUUCCCGAAAGGGAUGCUAAUACCGGAUAAUGUCUUCGGACCAAAGAUUUAUCGCCUUUGGAUGGGCCCGCGUAGGAUUAGCUUGUUGGUGGGGUAAUGGCCUACCAAGGCGACGAUCCUUAGCUGGUCUGAGAGGAUGAUCAGCCACACUGGGACUGAGACACGGCCCAGACUCCUACGGGAGGCAGCAGUGGGGAAUAUUGGACAAUGGGCGAAAGCCUGAUCCAGCAAUGCCGCGUGAGUGAUGAAGGCCUUAGGGUUGUAAAGCUCUUUUACCAGGGAUGAUAAUGACAGUACCUGGAGAAUAAGCUCCGGCUAACUCCGUGCCAGCAGCCGCGGUAAUACGGAGGGAGCUAGCGUUGUUCGGAAUUACUGGGCGUAAAGCGCACGUAGGCGGCGAUUCAAGUCAGAGGUGAAAGCCCGGGGCUCAACACCGGAACUGCCUUUGAAACUAGAUUGCUAGAAUCCUGGAGAGGUUAGUGGAAUUCCGAGUGUAGAGGUGAAAUUCGUAGAUAUUCGGAAGAACACCAGUGGCGAAGGCGACUAACUGGACAGGUAUUGACGCUGAGGUGCGAAAGCGUGGGGAGCAAACAGG